CUACGGGUCGCAGCAGUGGGGAAUAUUGGACAAUGGGGGAAACCCUGAUCCAGCAAUGCCGCGUGUGUGAAGAAGGCCUGCGGGUUGUAAAGCACUUUCGGUUGGGAGGACUGCUUCUAGCACUAAUAUUGUUGGAAGUUGACGUUACCUUCAGAAGAAGCACCGGCUAACUCCGUGCCAGCAGCCGUGGUAAUACGGAGGGUGCAAGCGUUAAUCGGAAUUACUGGGCGUAAAGCGCGCGUAGGCGGCUAGAUCAGUCGGGUGUGAAAGCCCCGGGCUUAACCUGGGAACUGCAUCCGAUACUGUCUAGCUUGAGUACAGGAGAGGAGAGUGGAAUUCCACAUGUAGCGGUGACAUGCGUAGAUAUGUGGAGGAACACCAAUGGCGAAGGCAGCUCUCUGGCCUGAUACUGACGCUGAGGUGCGAAAGCGUGGGGAGCAAACAGGAUUAGAUACCCUAGUAGUC
rnacentral:rRNA from 1 species